rnacentral:sRNA from 1 species
UGUGUGUGUGUGUGUGUGUGUGUGUGUGUGUGUGUGUGUAUGCAUAUGUGUGUAUAUAUUAUAAACAUAUUUUGAAAAUAUGUUUAUUGUGUUUUGAAAUUAAAAUAUUAUUACAUCGUUUUACUAUCCCUUUUCUUCCUUUCACACUCCCUGUGUACCCCCCUGCUCUCUCUCAAACUCAGUCUUUGGUUUCUAUUUAUUUUAAUAGCUAUUAUGUAUAUGUAAAUAUGAAUGUAUAUUUCUAAAUAUGUAAAUACAACUUUCUCAGUCCAUAUAUUAUUACUUGUAUGUAUAUGAUUCCAGGGCUGACCACUUGGUAUUGCAGAAUCCAAUUUGGGAGCUUUUCCCUGGGGAAGACUAUUUUCCCCCACUCUCAGUGUUCCAGUUACCUGUAGUUCUUCGUUUAGAGUUGAGCCCCAUGAGAUGCUACUCUUUUGUGUUAGCAUGUCUAUUGGUAGUGUUCUUGUUUAGGCAGCCAUGUUGGUGAGCUUCCAAGGGCAUAGCUUCUCUGACAUUUCCAGGCACCGAUCUCAUAGCACACUUCCCUUUCCUCUGACUCUUAUCCCCCUCUUCCACCAUAAUAUCUGGGCCUUAGAUGAGAAGUUGUGCUAUAGAUUUGUUGUUUUCCCGUCCAUUUCAGUGGCUUCUGACCUCAUCUUAAUUAUUUCUUCCUAUAUGCUUAUUUUGUUUGGCUUUUUCUUGUCCUCCUCGACCCCAAGGCCACGAUGAACUUUGUAACUUAUUUAUUUGAAAUCUGAGUUUUUAUUGCUGGCACUUGCAGUUCUACACUUUCCUCUUAGGAUUGUUCUCCUAGAUUUUGAUAUGGUAUAUUCUCACUUUUAUUUGAUAUCCCUCUCGGUUUUAUUGAUGACUUUUGUGUUAGGUAGUAAUGAAUCGCUCACUCUCCAUGGUUCUGUAUUCUUUAGGUAGCUUCUCUUGGUGUUGAUUUUCAUUUGUACUUGAUUAUAGUCAGAUAGAAUAAAAUAAAUUAUAUCAAUUUUCCAAAUUUGUGCCAUAUUUAUGAUGCAUCUUAGGGAAUGUCCCAUAAAUUCCUCAGGAGAUCUAUAUUUGGCACUGUUGGGUAGAAUGCCCUGUAGAGGGGCUGGGGAUUUAGCUCAGUGGUAGAGCGCUUGCCUAGGAAGCGCAAGGCCCUGGGUUCGGUCCCCAGCUCCGAAAAAAAGAACCAAAAAAAAAAAAAAAAAAAAAAA